rnacentral:sRNA from 1 species
UAAGGUGGUGCUAGUCAUGAUAAAGCCACAUCGGUUGACUCAUCGUGGGUGCUUCUAAAUGUAUUUCCAAAAACUGGUCAAUCUUAUCGGGUUCAGAGGUACUCAACCUGCCUGUAUGAAUAAAAUUUCAACACAUUUCCCAUCAAUGUCGACAGAAAGUGCGACCCUUAUCAAAUAUUUUACGGCGAUCAGAUAGACCGAUGGAUUUUUUAUCAUUUUAGCCAAACAAAAAAUCUCACGUAAUGUUGUAUGGCCAAACACUCAAUACUUGGUAACUCAAAGGUGCUGAUUAUUUACCCGCCACUGUAUGUUUCACUAGCCAUUGACAUUGAGCAAACUUCGGCAAAUGGCACGUGAGCGGGAAAGAGAUGGCGAAAGAGCGAGAGAGCCGGCAAGAUAAAGAAGCCGAUAUGUUGAAGACGAUCGUAUGCAAUCCUAUUUAAACGGUCGUAACAUUUGUUUUGACCACUAUCAGAAUGAGCGACCACUAUCAGCAUGGCUCCUGCUGGAAAUUCCACCAGUCAUGCUUCGCUUCCAGUUUCCAAACCUCAAUGUGCAGCAUGACUGAGCUGUUUGCAUGUACAUAUAUAACCCGGUGCCCCAAUAUUUAUCAACCCCGACUUUCACUUACGGAUCUCGAAUUUCUGCUUGGGAUAUAACUUCUGCAGGCGGCCG